UCCCAGGCUGCUAGCACAUCUACUUCAAACAAUCCUUCUCCUAGUACCAUAAGACAUCGAGGACAUGGUGGUGGUUCAGUCAUUAGGACUCCUCCACAUGUUUCAGAUGAUGAUUUAUCAAAUAUACUUGCGAUGGCUGAAACCGUUCGCGAAGUGCUUCCCCAUGUUCCUGAUGAACUAAUAUUGCGGGAUUUGCAGCGAACGAAUUCUGUUUCGGUUACUGUGAAUAAUCUUCUUCAAAUAUAAGUGGGUAGCAAUUGAGUGAAGUAAUAAAGGAAAAAACUAGUACUSAUAAUGCUAUAGUUUGUACAUACAAAGUGUCAAAAAAUUGUUGAAGUAAAACUAUAGCCCAUUGAGGUUUAGAGAUGGAAACUUGUAUGAUUCUUAUGUUUGGUGCAAUAAUGAUGAUGAUGUUUUAUUAC